GAAAUGCGAUAAGUAAUGUGAAUUGCAGAAUUCAGUGAAUCAUCGAAUCUUUGAACGCACAUUGCGCCCCUUGGUAUUCCGGGGGGCAUGCCUGUUCGAGCGUCAUUUCAACCCUCAAGCUCUGCUUGGUAUUGGGCACCGUCCUUUGCGGGCGCGCCUCAAAGACCACGGCGGUGGCGUCUUGCCUCAAGCGUAGUAGAAUACACCUCGCUUCGGAGCGUAAGGCGUCGCCCGCCGGACGAACCUUCUGAACUUUUCUCAAGGUUGACCUCGGAUCAGGUAGGGAUACCCGCUGAACUUAAGC
rnacentral:misc_RNA from 1 species